rnacentral:rRNA from 1 species
AUGGCGAAGCAUCACCCCGAUCUCAUCAUGUGCCGGAAGCAGCCCGGCAUCGCCAUCGGCCGCCUGUGUGAGAAGUGCGACGGCAAGUGCGUCAUCUGCGACUCGUACGUGCGCCCCUGCACCCUCGUCCGUGUCUGCGACGAGUGCAACUACGGCUCGUUCCAGGGGAGGUGCGUCAUCUGCGGAGGGGUCGGCAUCUCGGACGCCUACUACUGCAAGGAGUGCACGCAGCAGGAGAAGGACCGCGACGGGUGCCCCAAGAUCGUGAACCUGGGGAGCGCCAAGACCGACCUCUUCUAUGAGCGCAAGAAAUACGGUUUUAAGAAGCGAUAG